UACGUGGGGGGCGAGCGUUGUCCGGAUUUAUUGGGCGUAAAGAGCUCGUAGGCGGCUCACUAAGUCGGAUGUGAAAACUCCAGGCUCAACCUGGAGACGCCAUUCGAUACUGGUGUGGCUUGAGUUCGGUAGGGGAGCACGGAAUUCCUGGUGUAGCGGUGAAAUGCGCAGAUAUCAGGAGGAACACCGAUGGCGAAGGCAGAUCUCUGGGCCGUAACUGACGCUGAGGAGCGAAAGCGUGGGGAGCGAACAGG
rnacentral:rRNA from 1 species